UUUUUUUAUGGCGGAGUACGCAUUAGAUUUUUAAUUUAAUAACGGAGUUAUCCU
rnacentral:tRNA from 1 species